AUCGCUUCUCGGCCUUUUGGCUAAGAUCAAGUGUAGUUUUAAAAAAUUAUUUAUUUAUUUGGCUGAGCUGGGUCUUAGUGGUGGCAUGUGGGAUCUUUGUUGCGGUAUGAGGGAUCUUUAGUUGCAGCAGGCAUGCAGGAUCCAGUUCCCUGACCAGGGAUGGACCCCAGGUGCCCUGCCUUGGGAGCGAGGA